CAGCUGCUCAGCCACGCGGCCACCCAGCAUGGCGCACAUGCGGUCAAAGAGCUGCUCCCGCGUGUACAGUCCCCAGGAAGUUGUGGAGAGGUCUGCCUUCAGGGAGAAGCUUACAGUGAGACAUCCCCAUCAUGAAGGUGCUGUCUGGGGCUAGAUCCUGUACCCAGGCUUAGCCGAACAUGACUCUACCUUCUACGUCUUCAGAUGUGCCCAUCCUGGAAGUCUCACGACCAAAUGACACAACCAGAAACCACCUGCUGAUGAUGUGGCCAGUCCCAGGGCAGCCGCCCGGCCUCCAUCACUCACCUGUGA